AUGGUUUUAAAUGAAUUAUGUUGAACAAAUAGAUAAACUCGUGUGAAUUGAAUACAUCAUCUCUCUCAAAAUGUCACCAUCAUUCUUAAGGUUAAUAAGGUACGGAUCUCUCUCUUUUCCUUCUACUCCCAAUUUGUUUCUUCUUUGUCGUCAUAGUCGAUUAUACUACACUCAACCACUUCCCUCAUUCAUUGACAAUGUUGACGAUGCUGUUUCUUCGUUCAAUCACAUCCUUCAUAUGAGAAACCCUGUUCAACCCAUAUUUGAAUUUAACAAGAUCUUAUCUUCUCUUGUUAAGUUGAACCAUUUUCAUACUGCUAUUUCCUUUUCUAAACAAAUGGAACUCAAACAAAUUCAACCUGACUUAUUUACUUUCAACAUCUUGAUUAAUUGUUUCUGCCACUUGGGCCACCUCAAUUUUGCUUUUUCUGUAUUGGCCAAGAUUUUUAAGCUAGGGUUUCACCCUGAUACUGUAACAAUCACUACACUUAUCAAAGGUCUAUGUCUUAAUGGUAAGGUUAGGGAAGCCCUUCACUUUCAUGACGAUGUCAUAGCAAAGGGGUUUCACCUUGAUCAGGUUAGUUAUGGGACCUUGAUCAAUGGAUUAUGUAAAACAGGAGAAACAAGAGCUGCCCUGCAGGUUCUUAGAAAAAUUGAUGGGCUGUUGGUUCAGCCUAAUGUAGUCAUGUACAAUACAAUUAUUGAUAGUUUGUGCAAGGAUAAACUUGUAAUUCAUGCCUCUGAUUUAUGUUCUGAAAUGAUUGUUAAGAGAAUUUUUCCAGAUGUUGUCACUUAUACUACUCUAAUAUAUGGCUGUUUGAUUGUGGGUCGAUUGAAAGAAGCAGUUGGUUUGUUCAAUCAAAUGUUGUUGAAAAACAUUAAACCAGACGUUUAUACAUUUAAUAUAUUGGUUGAUGGUUUAUGUAAGGAAGGAGAGAUGAAAAAAGCUAGAAAUGUGUUAGCUGUUAUGAUAAAACAAGGUGUGGAUUCUAAUAUUGUUACUUAUAAUUCUUUAAUGGAUGGGUAUUUCUUGGUCAAACAAGAGAAUAAGGCCACAUUUGUGUUCAACACUAUGGCUAGAAGGGGAGUGACUCCUGAUGUUCAAAGCUACAGUAUUAUGAUUAAUGGACUAUGCAAGACUAAAAUGGUGGAUGAAGCCGUUAAUCUCUUCAAAGAAAUGCAUUCCAAAAGUAUGGCUCCUAAUACUGUAACAUACAAUUCACUUAUCGAUGGUCUUCUCAAAUAUGGGAGAAUCUCUGAUGCUUGGGAUCUUGUAAAUGAGAUGCAUAAUAGAGGCCAACCUGCCGAUGUGAUCACUUACAGUUCCUUAUUGGAUGCUUUGUGCAAAAACCAUCAGGUUGACAAGGCAAUCACAUUAAUAACGAAGAUCAAAGACCAAGGAAUUCAGCCAAAUAUUUAUACUUACACUAUACUUGUUGAUGGACUAUGCAAAAAUGGAAGACUUAAGGAUGCACAAGCGGUUUAUCAGGAUCUUCUUAUUAAGGGCUAUCAUUUAGAUGUUAAAAUGUAUAAUGUGAUGGUCAAUGGGCUUUGUAAAGAGGGCUUGUUUGAUGAAGCACUGUCCUUAGUGUCAAAAAUGGAAGACAACGGUUGCAUACCUGAUGCUGUAACUUAUGAAACUCUUGUCCGUGCUUUGUUCGAGAACGAUAAGAAUGAUAAGGCGGUGAAACUUCUACGUGAAAUGAUUGCUAGAGGUAUAUUGUAAUGUAAAACCAGGUGAGAUAUGAGUUCAAGUUACAAUUUGUCAUUUUGAAUUUGAAAACAAAUAUCUAAUCAGUAAUCUUUAUUUCUUUUCAUAGUUAUAAAAGAUGGUUAGUGCAAUUGACCCACUCUUACAUUUUUUUUUUUAAUUAAGAGUUACACAUUGCUAGUUUCAUUAUGAUAUUUGUAACAACAAUUGUGGUCGACAUUUUUUAUUCCUUAAUAACUAUCCUUUUCUUCCCAAAUUGUUGUGAAUCUGCUUCAUCAAUUUUCAAGGAUUGUUUUUAUUCACUGUCAUGUUCAGAGUUCAAUUUAUUUAUAUUUAAUAGAAUCAAUGAAAUGAGAGAUGUUGUAACACAGAUAUAUUUUAGAAUAUGGAAGGGUAAUUGAAGUGUAAACAGAAAGAAAAUCUGAUAGGAUCACUACCAGUCAAGCCAAAUGGCUCUCUCAACAGCGUACAUUCACCCCGAGCAAUCCUCUAACUAUAACAGAAUUCUAUUGUGAUUCUUUUCUCAAAAGUAUUCCUCAUAUAACUACCUUCCACACCUCACUCUCACAAUCCCUCGUUAUUAAUUUCCUGCCAGCUCAACAUCCUUGAUCUUCCCUUGUUUUGUGUGAUACACCCUCCACUCUUCGGGACUGUUCUCACUUUCAUUAAGGGUGACACGCCCAUUCCCUUUAUUUCUAUCAAAUAUUUUAUGAAUGUUUCUUGCGUCUUUAUAGAAAAAGGGAGAAGUUAACCAACAACCCUCUUUUUGUUACUUGAGACUUACCUUGCUUUUCUGUCAAGGCAACCAUAGUUAUAGAUGUAAUUUUUUAAUUGAGUAGAGCAGACAUACAUGAAGCAAUUUGUGGAUAGAGGAGUCGAUCUACUGUUCGAUCAUCUAUUUUUUAGCAAACGUGGCAGUGUUGUUGGAUCUAGGUGCAAGGAAGUGCAGUUGGAUCCAACAUCUCUUCAAAUUCAAUGCUCUGUGUCUACCAGGCAGCACCUUUAGCUAGUUUUGGAGUAUUUUGGUUCAUUUUUGGUCUUGCAUCUUUAGGAUUAGAUGCAUUUAAAAUUCAACUUCCAGAGCAAGCUUGCAUGCACCACUUUUACAUUUUCCCGGUCGAAAAGGGUAAUGGGACAUAAAUCAAGUUAUUGAUAAUAAGUUUCUGUUUUUUCCUGUUUCAAAGCUCUUAAAGUCAUAUGUCUUUUAGAUUACAAGCUUCUAUUUUACUGUUUCAAAGAGCCUAACACAUUCCUUCAAAAAGAAAAAAAGCCUAACACAUUGUGUAAUAAAUCUAAUGACUAAUGAUAUCAAGUUAAUGAUUAUAAGCUUCAAUUUUUCCAGUUUCGAAGAUCUUAAUGUCCUAUGUCAAUUAGAUAUACAUGAUGAUUUGUUGUAAUAAAUGCAUCUAAAGCUUAUUUCAAUUCUCUCUUUUGUCGUCCUGUAUAUUAUAUUUAUCUUAGUCAUAUAGAUUCAAAAUGAAAAAGAUAGAACCUAUAUUUGUAGCAUGUGUAAAAAUUAACCAGAUCCACGCUCUUCAUACGUUGGAGUGAUUACGUGCAUACAACUGAAGAGUUUGAUCUUCACAUACCUAGCUAGUUGUAAAAGGGGAAACUUUUGUUGAAUGCACAAAAUGAAACAUCUGAAAGAGAACUAACUUCACUGUUGAAUAGACAAAAUGAAACAUCUGAAACAUCUAGAAAGCCGAUAUAUUAAGAGGUAUGAACCAGUGUUGUUGAAUAUCGGCCAUGGAGGCGCCAUGGCGGAUAUCAGUGGCGGAAUUUCAACAGGGUGCCAUAGAAAGGAGGUGGUGUGGCGGAUUGUUGCAACGCUGGUUUGAUUUUUUAUACUUUACAUUUCAAUGAAUUGUUUCAAUCUAUUGUCGUCCUCCGUCUGCCUUACUAAUAAUUUGAUAAAUAUUUGUGCUUAGAAGAUUUCAGAGUAUCCUAAUAGUGGAGAUUAAACAAGCUUCAUGUAUCCAAGGUAGGGAGGUGAUACUGAAAAUUUUAAUCUUGGAAGGACUUUUUACCUCAGACAAACUUAGUUAGUGCAUGUCUUGGACGGUGUCCUGUAGGGGCCCUUAGACACUAUGUGAAACCUUGUCUUUUUGAAUAGCAAAUGUAGGGCUGAUACAGUGAAAGAAACACUCCGUUAUUGAGAUAGCAUGCCUACUACCUACUAAGUUUUGAUUAAACAUCUUGGUCCCUCUGCAGUUUCUAGAUUAAAACUUAGUGAAUAUUUGGGAGGUUUAUUAGUUGUCUCCCCAACCUUCAUAGUUGAGAUCGGUGAGAUCAUAGCGUCUUAUUGAGAUUUUCCUUGUUCUUCCAAGAUCACAGUGAAGUAAAGAGAUUUUCCUCAGCCAUCAUACAUAUCUUGGUAUAUAAGAUUGUAUAUAUUAGUGGAUAAGGAAAGGGAAGCCUUAUAAAUUCGUCUUUUCAAUAUUCUGUCGUUUUUGUUCUUUCAAACUUUGGUCCUGUCUAGUAUAUUUCGUGCUGUAAGAAUGCACCAACACUUAGGCAAGUCUUGUGAUCAACAGUACACUGACAUGACACCUGCGCAUGUGAUAACAUUCAAUUAAUUUAUUUCCUCAAAUUAUGUUGACAUCAUUAGGUUUUUCGUUGGAGGAGUCAAUUCCAGUUGUUGGAGUCUCCAUGGAGACCCAAUUCAAUUCAUAGUUCAAUUCAUAAGACCCAAUUCAAUUCUCAGCCCUUUUUCAGAAAAAGAAAAAAAAAGUUAGUUGUUGCACAGAAAUAGUGUAGCCAAGCCUAACUGAUGGACUCUGUUGUUGUGAGAUACCAUUUUUUAUCAUCUGUUUGUCUAAUAGUGCUUCUAAGUGAACUUUUCCAAGCUGUAACUGAGCAUUCGGUAAAGCUAAAGGCUGUAUUGAAGGGUAUCGUGUGUUGGUUCGAGUGCACUUGUUAUGGAACUAUGUUUUGUGCUUCACUUCUUUUUACAUGUAUCUCUUUAAUUGGUGUUUUGGGUAAUCCAUGCUCUAGGUGCUUAACAUUAUAGGGCGCAUAUGAUCUUAUGGGAAGAUGUUUUUGAGAAUAUAGUAACAAUGAUUUUGAACCUUUUAUAAAUUUUUCAUUUGGAUAGGUGAGUUUGUGAGACUGAUCCUUUAUUUUAUUUUUUUUAAACUUUUUCCAUACUGAUGAUGCACUGCAACCAAUUGUAUGCAUUUUACUAUUGGAUUAUUCUCUUGUAUAUCUGUUGUAUAUAUUAGUUUUACCGUUUCUGCACUUUUGUUUCUUGCGCAAUUCUGCUACUGUUGCGUUAUGUGGUGUCUAUCUCCUCAUAUAUCUGUUUCAGCACAUUCCCAUUUAUGCACAUGUGUUCAGGUUCAACGCUUCGGAUUUACUGCAUAAUUUUCUCUACUGGUUUAUGUGUCUUAAUUAGGUUUACCACAAAUCCGGUUUUUGUUGGAUUUCUUGGCUGCGCGUGUUUUCUGGUUGUUGUGAUGCCGGCUCUUUUGGUUUCACUUUUGCAGGUAAACUAUCCUCUUGUAUAUUAUUCUUCUUUCGUUAUGGAUGCAUCAAGUUCAUUACUGAUUCUGAAAAAGGGUGCCCCAUAGACAAUUUUUUUGAGUAUACAAUGUUGGAGCACAAUAAGAAGGGUCAACUCUUCAGUAUAUUUGAAAUUGCAAGAUUUGGUCCUAUUGGACUGUCUCAUGUAAUGCCUUAGUGUUAUGGUGUUAAUUAGACAAUUGUCUUUCAUAUUCUAUUAUUGGAAACUUUCCAUUCUUUGAUUGAUGAGCUAUAGCUUCCGAAUAUAUUGUUGUUCUGUGAACCCUAUUUUCUCUGAUCAAAUUUUUCUUUAGGUAAAUUGUUAAAUUCAAUUUUCUGUCAGCUGCGUAACUUUGAUUUUAGCUUGAUCUUCAAUUUUAUUUUGAUGCGGGUGCAUCAUUAUUUUCA